rnacentral:misc_RNA from 1 species
UUAUUAAGGUUGUCCUCGUCAUUACAACGAGUACUUGUAACAUUCUAUUAAACAUUGUUUUAAAAAUGGUAUUAGAGUCUUUUAACAACUCUAUUAAGUUCACAGGUGUAUAUGGAUAGAGAAGGAGAGUUCCUUUGAAAGAAACUACAAAUUCAAUAAUGAUCCUUCCGCAGGUUCACCUACGGAAA